ensembl:misc_RNA 7SK 7SK RNA
GGACUUGAGGAUAAUUUGUCUGUGAAAUCUGUCACCUCAUUGAUUGCUGGGGUUGAUUUGGUGGAUCUAGCUGGCUAGACAGGUACACCUGUCCUCUGUUAUCACUCCAUAUGGGUCCCUCCCGAAGAGGCACUCUUGGUGAAAGAGGACAACCUUCCCCAGUAGAAGGGGACCCUGCUUUGUAAAGGAUAUACAAGUAGCUGUGCUCCCCUGGCAGGACCUCCAAAUAAGAACAUCUGCAGAGAAAUAUAAACAGAGACCACCACCCCCAGGGAGGUGUGGAGGCAAGGGUAGUACAGCCUCAUCCAAGACAGGGCCUAAACUCAGUUCUCUGUAUU